GAUGAACGCUGACAGAAUGCUUAACACAUGCAAGUCAACUUGAACUUCGGUUUGGGUGGCGGACGGGUGAGUAACGCGUAAAGAACUUGCCUCACAGAUAGGGACAACAUUUGGAAACGAAUGCUAAUACCUGAUAUUAUGAUUAUAUGGCAUCGUAUAAUUAUGAAAGCUAUAUGCGCUGUGAGAGAGCUUUGCGUCCCAUUAGCUAGUUGGAGAGGUAACGGCUCACCAAGGCGAUGAUGGGUAGCCGGCCUGAGAGGGUGAUCGGCCACAAGGGGACUGAGACACGGCCCUUACUCCUACGGGAGGCAGCAGUGGGGAAUAUUGGACAAGGGACCAAGAGUCUGAUCCAGCAAUUCUGUGUGCACGAUGAAGUUUUUCGGAAUGUAAAGUGCUUUCAGUUGGGAAGAAAAAAAUGACGGUACCAACAGAAGAAGUGACGGCUAAAUACGUG
rnacentral:rRNA from 1 species